UACUCCGGCAGCACAAUGAUGAUGUCACUGACUCUACUGCUGGCCACCCUGGGGCUCCUUGUUCAGGGUUCAUCAGGACAAAUCAUCCUGACUCAGUCUCCUGAAUCUCAGUCUGUUGUUGCAGGACAGACUGUCUCCAUCAGAUGUAAAACCAGUACAAGUGUUAGUAUCUAUCUCAGCUGGUACCUUCAGAAAUCUGGAGAAGCUCCUAAACUCCUGAUUUAUUCAGCUACAACCCGUCAGUCUGGAGUUUCAGAUCGUUUUACUGGAAGUGGUUCUGGGACUGACUUCACUCUGACCAUCAGAGGAGUCGAGGAUAAAGAUUCAGGAGUUUACUACUGUCAGCAGGGUUACAGCGGGUUAACACAGUGAUACAACGUCGUACAAAAACCUCCCUCAGCUGGAGAGGAACUGAUCUGACUCAACAGCUGCACUGAAACUAAAACAACAGA